CCUACGGUGCGCAGCAGUGGGGGAUAUUGCACAAUGGGGGCAACCCUGAUGCAGCGACGCCGCGUGAGUGAAGAAGUAUUUCGGUAUGUAAAGCUCUAUCAGUAGGGAAGAAAAUGACAGUACCUGACCACGAAGCCACGGCUAACUACGUGCCAGCAGCCGAGGUAAGACGUAGGGGGCAAGCGUUAUCCGGAUUUACUGGGUGUAACGGGAGCGUAGACGGUUUAGUAAGUCUGGAGUGAAAGCCCGGGGCCCAACCCCGGGACUGCGUUGGAAACUGUGUAACUGGAGUACAGGAGGGGCAGGCGGAAUUCCUGGUGUAGCGGUGAAAUGCGUAGAUAUCAGGAGGAACACCGGCGGCGAAGGCGGCCUGCUGGACUGAAACUGACGUUGAGGCUCGAAAGCGUGGGGAGCAAACAGGAUUAGAUACCCGGGUAGUC
rnacentral:rRNA from 1 species